UACGAAGGGUGCAAACGUUGCUCGGAAUCAUUGGGCGUAAAGCGCACGUAGGCGGCUUCGCAAGUCGGAUGUGAAAUCCCGUGGCUCAACCAUGGACGUGCAUCCGAAACUGCGAGGCUUGAGUAUGGAAGAGGGUCGCGGAAUUCCCGGUGUAGAGGUGAAAUUCGUAGAUAUCGGGAGGAACACCAGUGGCGAAGGCGGCGACCUGGGCCAAUACUGACGCUGAGACGACG
rnacentral:rRNA from 1 species